rnacentral:rRNA from 1 species
CUACGGGAUGCUCCAGGUGCGAAACCUUCGCAAUGUUUUAGCGAACGAUGAGGGAAUCCGAAGUGCUGCAGCUUUGCUGCAGCUUUUGUCAAGUUCAAACAGCUUGGCGAAUAAGAGGUGGGCAAGACAGGUGCCAGCCGCCACGGUAAUACCUGCGCCUCGUGUGGUAUCCAGUAUUAUUGGGUCUAAAGCGUCCGUAGCCGGUCUUGUAAGUCCUCGGUGAAAUCCACUAGCAGACUGGUGGGCUUGCCGGGGAUACUGUAAGACUUGAGAUCGGAAGAGGGUAGAGGUACUCCUAGGGGAGGGGUAAAAUCCUAUAAUCCUAGGGGGACCACCGGUGGCGAAGGCGUCUACCUAGAACGGAUCUGACGGUGAGGGACGAAAGCUAGGGGAGCGAUCGGGAUUAGAUACCCCUGUAGUC